AUGAUAAAAGAAAUGGAAGGAAAGAAAGAAAGAAAGAAAAAGUGAACUAGUGAGUGAACGAUUGAAUCAAAUAAAUCAAUUCACUGAAAGAACAAGUGGAGAAAGAAAGAAAGAAAGAAAGAGAGUGAACUAGUGAGUGAACAAGUGAAUCAAAUAAAUCAAUUCACUGAAAAAACAAGUGAGUGAGGGAAAGAAAG